GCCGGGGCCUGCGAGUGCGCUGGUGUGCCGGGGCUCGGGCCGGGCACAGGUAAAGGGUGUCUUAGAACAGGCCAGGGAGUCACCGGACAGCGCGGGAGCCCCGGCGGUGCUGGGGGACGGCACACGGGGCAGCGUUAGAAACAGCCGCAGUUUCCUCCGGUCACCUCGGUUCUUUGGAGGUGAAAUGCAAUCAGGCACAGAGCAGGUACGGAUAACUGGCCUUUUGCUCCUAAAACCUCCUUUGCUUCCCAGUUAAAGCUGUCUGGGGUGAUGAUGCUCUUGAUUAACAACAUUUGAUGCUGGCACACGUCCCCCACAGAACCACACCAGGCAGGAACAUCAUUUUGAUUCUGUACAAGAAAUACUAUGUGUAAUGCUGGCUUGCAGAGAACUGUCACAAAUAAGAUCUAUUUUUUACGUGUGUCAAGUACUUAUCAAGGAUGUUACAUUAUUGGUCUUCCUGCAGGUAAAUAGGUUGGUGAUUUAUAGUGAUUAAACACUUUAUUUAAAGACCUUGUUUCCCAGGUGGCCUACCUGAGAAGUAAGUGUUGCAAAGCUGGUACCUGAUGACUGUAAUUGUGCCAUCCAGCACUAAAUUCAGAUGAUGGAUGAAAGAGACCACAGCGAGGAAAAGACAUUUUGGUGAGAAAUUGCAGAUUAAUUCACGGAAUUGUUGGGGUUUGAAGGGACCUCUGGAGAUCAUGGAGCACAACCCCCCUGCCCAAGUAGGGUCAGCCAGGGCUGUCCAGGACCACAUCAUUGAGUUUUGAGUAUCUCCACAGAUAGAGACCCCAAAACCUCUGCUGAUGUAUGACAUCCCUCAUAAUAAAAAGCAUUUUCUUAUGUUCCAGUGGAAUUUCCUGUGUUUUAAUUUGUGCCUGUUGCCUCUUGUCCUGUCAGCGGUCACUGCCAAGGAGAGGAUGGCUCCCCACUCCUCCCUGCAUCCCAUCAGUGAGUGUAACAGCGCAAAAGGCCACGUUCUCUGAAGCCAAUAUUGUUACCACUGGACAGCACCUAAAUCCUGACAACAGACACAUGCAGACAGAAGCAGCGCAGGCCCUUGUGCAACUGAGCUGGACACGCGGAGCAGGAACCGAAGUACAGAUACUAACGUAUUUCAGACACUGGACAACUUACCCAAAAUACAAUUUAAGUGAUGUGACAAGAAAAAUUAAUAAAAACCAGCCACACUUCUCAUAAAAUUGUAUUAGAAUGCA